CCCAGUGUCCUGUUCGUCUCUGUCCCCCUCACACGGCACAGCUUGCGCAAGGAUAGCCACCAGCCAGCAUCCACUGAACUGAUGUGACCCACUUCCACGCAAGGUAAGAGGAGCGAGGGACCGGCCUUUGAGGCAGGCUGUCAGACCACAGCGAGGCUCCUCAGCCACGUGGCCCUGAGACCAACAGAACAGGUCAAUAUUAUAAUCCUUUAUGAUCAAUACAUGACUCUUCCUUCACCCAUCAACACUUGGGAAACCCCAGUAGCAUUCAUUCUCAAACAUGCCUGCCAUGUUGUGAGAAUGGCACACAACUUUUUAGUUUUGCAACUGACAUUACGUCGGAACCAUGGUGCUGAGGACCGAAGACCACCAGGCCCAUCGCUGGCCUAAAACGUGACCACCAUGGAACCCACAGAGUGACUUCUACUUUGCAGGCCCAAACCUCCAAAACACACUUCCUUCCCAGAACUUGUAAAAAGGGGAAGGUGAACAGCAAAGAAAACCAUCAACAAAAUGAGAAGGCAACCUACCCAAAUGGGAGAAAAUAAUUGUGAAUCACCUAUCUGUUAAUAGGUUAUGCAACAUAUUCAGAACUCAUAAACUCAGUAGCCAAAAAAAAAAAAAAAGAAGAAAAGAAAAUUAAAAAAUUGAAAGAAAAG